AUUGAACGCUGGCGGCAGGCCUAACACAUGCCAGUCGAGCGAGCGGCGGGCGUGUGAGUAAUGUCUGGGAAAGUGACUGGUGGAGGGGGAUCACCAGUGAAAACUGUAGCAUACACCGUAUUCCCUCAUGUGUUCCAAGAUGGGAAUAGCUAGUAGGGGGGGGAAUGGCUCACCUAGGCGACGAUCCCUAGGGGGUCUGAGAGGAUGACCAGCCACACUGGAACUGAGACACGGUCCAGACUCCUACGGGAGGCAGCAGUGGGGAAUAUUGCACAAUGGGCGCAAGCCUGAUGCAGCCAUGCCGCGUGUGUGAAGAAGGCCUUCGGGUUGUAAAGCACUUUCAGCGAGGAGGCGUUACUCGCAGAAGAAGCACCGGCUAACGCCGUGCCAGCAGCCGCGGUAAUAC
rnacentral:rRNA from 1 species